rnacentral:rRNA from 1 species
ACGGAGGGUGCCAGCGUUAUUCGGAAUUAUUGGGUGUAAAGCGCGUGUAGGCGGCUUGGAAAGUCAGAUGUGAAAGCUCCGAGCUUAACUCGGAAAGUGCAUUUGAAACUUCCAGACUUGAGUGCCGGAGAGGAAGGUGGAAUUCCCAGUGUAGAGGUGAAAUGCGUAGAGAUGGGGAGGAACACCGAUGGCGAAGGCAGCCUUCUGGACGGACACUGACGCUGAUACGCGAAAGCGUGGGGAGCAAACAG